GAUGAACGCUAGCGGCAGGCUUAAUACAUGCAAGUCGUGGGGCAGCAGGUUUGUAGCAAUACAGAUGCUGGCGACCGGCAAACGGGUGCGGAACACGUACAGAACCUUCCUUGAGCGGGGAAUAGCCCAGAGAAAUUUGGAUUAAUACCCCAUAGUAUAAUGAAGUGGCAUCACUUUAUUAUUAAAGAUUUAUCACUCGAAGAUGGCUGUGCGGCUGAUUAGGUAGUUGGCGGGUAAAGGCCCACCAAGCCUGCGAUCAGUAACUGGUGUGAGAGCACGACCAGUCACACGGGCACUGAGACACGGGCCCGACUCCUACGGGAGGCAGCAGUAAGGAAUAUUGGUCAAUGGAGGCAACUCUGAACCAGCCAUGCCGCGUGGAGGAUGAAGGUCCUCUGGAUUGUAAACUUCUUUAUAUGGGACGAAAAAAAGGCUUUUCUAAGUCGUCUGACGGUACCAUAUGAAUAAGCACCGGCUAAACUCCGUG
rnacentral:rRNA from 1 species